rnacentral:rRNA from 1 species
GCCUACGGCCAUACCACCCUGAACACGCCCGAUCUCGUCUGAUCUCGGAAGCUAAGCAGGGUCGGGCCUGGUUAGUACUUGGAUGGGAGACCGCCUCGGAAUACCGGGUGCUGUAGGCN